rnacentral:piRNA from 1 species
AUUCAAUAAUUGUUUACUGAGCCUUUAAGC